UACGUAGGGUGCGAGCGUUGUCCGGAAUUACUGGGCGUAAAGAGCUCGUAGGUGGUUUGUCGCGUUGUUCGUGAAAACUCACAGCUCAACUGUGGGCGUGCGGGCGAUACGGGCAGACUGGAGUACUGCAGGGGAGACUGGAAUUCCUGGUGUAGCGGUGGAAUGCGCAGAUAUCAGGAGGAACACCGGUGGCGGAAGGCGGGUCUCUGGGCCGAUACUGACGCUGAGGAGCGAAAGCGUGGGGAGCGAACAGG
rnacentral:rRNA from 1 species